rnacentral:lncRNA from 1 species
CUCAGAAGAGUUGAGCUCUCUAGUCAGCUCGGUAUUGGUUCUUUCUAUCUGCUCCAACUGGUACUUCAACAAGUCAAUCUCCUUCCUCACUGCUGUAAACUCUAGUACAAAUGCAUUAGAAGUAGAACCAACGAAGCUGGCUAGAUGAUGCCCAACCUGCACAAAAUUAACAUCAAGGCUAUUAGAUGCUGUAAGUCACAAGAGAUAGGAAGGAGAGAUUCAAAAAAUUCCUUACCUGGGCAAGGGACUUGAGGGCAGUCACCAUCCAUUGCUGAGCCCCUUAUUC